AUUGAACGCUGGCGGCAGGCCUAACACAUGCCAGUCGAGCGGAUGAAGGGAGCUUGCUCCUGGAUUCAGCGGCGGACGGGUGAGUAAUGCCUAGGAAUCUGCCUGGUAGUGGGGGAUAACGUCCGGAAACGGGCGCUAAUACCGCAUACGUCCUGAGGGAGAAAGUGGGGGAUCUUCGGACCUCACGCUAUCAGAUGAGCCUAGGUCGGAUUAGCUAGUUGGUGGGGUAAAGGCCUACCAAGGCGACGAUCCGUAACUGGUCUGAGAGGAUGAUCAGUCAAAGUGGAAAUGAGAAACGGUCCAGGCUCCUACGGGAGGCAGCAGUGGGGAAUAUUGGAAAGUGGGCGAAAGCCUGACCCAGCCAUGCCGGGGGGGGGAAGAAGGUCUUCGGUUUGUAAAGCACUUUAAGUUGGGAGGAAGGGAAGUAAGUUAAACCCUUGCUGUUUUGACGUUACCAACAGAAUAAGCACCGGCUAACUUCGG
rnacentral:rRNA from 1 species